AUGAUGACUGUUCCGAUGGAUAGUACUGCUGUUCCGCCAUCGCGGGACCUCGUGCAGCGCCUCCUUAAGAAGAAUGCCGAACUCAAAAGUCAUCUUGAGAAGUCAGCACAGUCCAAAGUCCCAUCAGAUCCCAACAUAUGGCUUCAGAUGCGUGAGAAUUUUGAGAAAAUGAUUCUGGCAGAUCAUGACUUCUGUGAAAAGCAUGAGAUCGAGUAUAUUUUGUGGCAGUUGCACUACAAAAGAAUCGAGGAGUUCAGGCACCACAUUAGUUCUGCAGGUUCAGCUGCAUCUCAGAAUGGGAAGAACAAUGCCAACCCUGAUCGAAUUAAGAGAAUUAAGUCGGCCUUCAGGAGCUUUCUUUCAGAAGCAUCGGGCUUCUAUCAUGAUUUGAUGUUCAAGAUCAAAUCCAACUACGACCUUCCUCUGGGUCACUUCUCGGAGUCUCCUGAGAAUGCAAGCAACCCUGGCAAAAAUGAUAAGAGAACAGCUGAUGCUAAGAAAGCCCUGAUAUCAUGCCACCGUUGUCUCAUAUAUCUUGGUGAUUUGGCCCGCUAUAAGGGUAUGUUUGGUGAUGCUGAUUCUGUAAGACGUGAAUAUAAUGCUGCUUCUAAUUACUACAAGGAGGCAGCUUCAAUCUGCCCUUCCAGCGGCAACCCACACCAUCAGCUUGCAAUAUUAGCUUCUUACUCUGGCAAUGAGGUGGUGGCUGUCUACAGAUACUUUCGAAGCUUAGCUGCAGACACUCCCUUCUCCACAGCACGGGACAACUUGAUUCUCGCUUUUGAGAAGAAUCGCCAGGGCUAUGCACAGCUGCCAAGCAACAACAAAGUUGCAAUUGCUAGGACAUUACCCCCACGGUCAGCUGGUAGGGGCAGAGGAGGACGGGGCGAAAUAAGGUUUCAGCCCAAGGAUGUUAAUACUGAAGCAGCUUCAAAAGAGCGAGAGCAAAGUAUUCCUGAUACACUGAAGUCCUUCUUUGUACGGUUUGUUAGGCUCAAUGGAAUUCUUUUCACAAGGACUAGUUUGGAGACAUUUGAGGAACUGUUUGAUGUGGUCAUCAACGAUCUGAAAGUUCUCCUCUCUUCUGGUCCAAAUGAAGAGUUCCAUUUUGGUUCUGAUGCUGCAGAGAACGCAUUAGUUAUUGUUCGACUUGUUGCAAUCCUUAUAUUCACAGUGCACAACGUGAAAAAGGAACCAGAUAACCAGUCAUAUGCUGAAAUUGUCCAACGCAGGGUCCUUCUUCAAAAUGCAUUUACAGCUGCUUUUGAGUUUGUUGGACAUAUUCUCAAAAGGUGCUCAGAGCUUCGUGACAUUGCAUCAAGUUUCUAUCUUCCAGCCAUUGUGGUCUACAUCGAAUGGCUGGCAUGCCAUCCGGAGUUAGCUGCUGAUUCGGAGAUGGACGAGAAGCAUGCGAAUGCUCGAUCUUUCUUCUGGAACCAGUGUGUCUUGCUUAUGAAUAAGCUCAUCCUUACAGACCUUGCGUCCAUUGAUGGUGAUGAUGAUGAGGCUUGCUUUUUUGAUAUGGGCGUGUAUGAAGAGGGUGAAACUGGCAAUCGACUUGCAUUGUGGGAAGAUUUUGAAUUAAGGGGAUUUUCCCCCUUGGUGCCUGCACAUAUUAUCUUGGAUUUCUCAAGCAAGCACACAUUUGGAAGUGAUGGUAGCACCAAGUUGAAGAAAGCACGGGCACAACGGAUACUUUCUGCAGGGAAGGCUCUACUCAAUUUUGUCCAGAUUGAUCAACUGAGAAUAUAUUUUGACCCAUCUUCAAGGAAGUUUGUUGUGGCCAAGGAGCCUCCUGUUUUUGGAGCUGCCAUCUCUACUCAUAGAUCUCGCAAUGCACCUGAAACAAAUGCUGUUGAGCUGGAACAUGAAAUUGGUAAUUUUUUUGAUGCAGUGGCAACUAAUCUUGGAGCAAUGCAGUCGGGAGUACAGUUGUGUUCAGAGGGAGAAGAUGAUGAAGAAAUUGUUUUCAAACCUACAGCGUCUGAGAAGCUCCCAAAAGUACUUACCGAACUACCCGUUAAUGGAUAUAUCCAGCCUCUACAGAUGUCUACUGCUGGGUGGCCAACAAUGGGCGGACCAGUUACUAUUCAGAGUACUGCAUCUGCAUCAGGUCCUGGAAACUGUAAUGUUAAUGAGUCACUUCCCAUGUCUUCUGGUGGUUGGGCUUUCAAUGGCAGGCAAGAGGCUAUUUCUAGCAAUGUUUCAAUGUCGACAACUUACGAAUUUGUGCAGCCUGUUGAGAUGGCUACUUCCAGCUGGGCAAGUAAUGGUGCACCACUUGUUGGCCCUCUGAACACAAUGCCUACUUUCUCAGCUGCCAUCUCUGAUCCGCGUGUAUCUGCAGCAAUGGUUCCACAUUUUGGCAGCCCAGAUUAUUCAAAAUUGCUCCUUGAACAAGAAAAACUCUUAAUGAUGGGAUUAAAUAAUGUUCAUUUGGCUGGAAAUGGAUUUCCUGAGCAGAGGUUUCAGGGUGGACCGAGUGGAUUACAGUCAAUGGUAUAUUCUCCACAUGUAUCUGUUGAAUCUGUGUGCAACAAUACAAGUUUGAUGCAUAAUCAGGUGAAAGCGACUGAAGAAACCAUCCCAUCCACUUCUGAUUCAAUUGUACCCUCAGUAGCAGCAUCUGGUGGGAUGACAAUCAAUCUCACUGAUGCACCUGUAGCUGUAUCAAAGAAGAAUCCUGUAAGUCGUCCAUCAAGGCCCGUUGGUCCUCCUCCAGGAUUUAACCACAUCACUCCAAAGCGCCAUGAUGAUGAUAUUAUGCCAUUUGAGAAGCUGCAGCACCAACAGAUUGAUGAUUACAGCUGGCUGGAUGGCUACCAGCCAUCAAUGGAACGUGUUCAUAACUCAAAAGCUAUUUAUCCUGAUGUUGCCACUACCAGCAGUGCAUUCACCACUCCCUUCCCUUUCCCUGGGAAACGGCAGGUUUCUGGGGUGCACACCUUAGGGGCCAGUGAGAAAACAUGGCAAGAUUUCCACCUUUUUGACCCUGCAAAGCAGAAUAUGGUUCAAAACCACCAACAAAUUAAUCAGCAUAGUGGUCAAGUGGCUGAAAAGCAGCCGGCAAAACCUAUCGGAUCUGGCCGUUAUCUUGUGUGA
rnacentral:rRNA from 1 species